UACGGAGGUGGCAAGCGUUGCUCGGAAUCACUGGGCGUAAAGGGCGCGUAGGCGGGGAGGUAAGUCGGGUGUGAAAUCCCUCGGCCCAACCGAGGAACUGCGCCCGAGACUGCUUCUCUUGAGUCCCGGAGAGGAAGAUGGAAUUCCCGGUGUAGCGGUGAAAUGCGUAGAUAUCGAGAGGAACACCAGUGGCGAAGGCGAGUCUCUGGACAAUUCCUGACGCUGAGGCACGAAGGCCAGGGGAGCAAACGGG
rnacentral:rRNA from 1 species